GCAACUCGCCUGCAUGAAGUUGGAAUUGCUAGUAAUCGCGAAUCAGAAUGUCGCGGUGAAUACGUUCCCGGGCCUUGUACACACCGCCCGUCACACCAUGAGAGUCGAUAACACCCGAAGCCUGUGAGCUAACCGCAAGGAGGCAGCAGUCGAAGGUGGGGUUGAUGAUUGGGGUGAAGUCGUAACAAGGUACC
rnacentral:rRNA from 1 species